GAACGCUGGCGGCGUGCCUAACACAUGCAAGUCGAGCGGAGACAUGCGACGGAUCUGAAGUUUCGGAUGGAAGUGAAGAUGUAUGUUUAGCGGCGGACGGGUGAGUAACGCGUGAACAAUCUGUCCUUCACAGGGGGAUAACACAGCGAAAGUUGUACUAAUACCGCAUGAGACCACAGUGCCGCAUGGUACAGGGGUCAAAGGAGCAAUCCGGUGAAGGGUGAGUUCGCGUCCGAUUAGAUAGUUGGUGAGGUAACGGCCACCAAGUCGACGAUCGGUAGCCGACCUGAGAGGGUGAUCGGCCACAUUGGGACUGAGACACGGCCCAAACUCCUACGGGAGGCAGCAGUGGGGAAUAUUGGGCAAUGGGGGGAAACCCUGACCCAGCAACGCCGCGUGAGGGAAGAAGGUUUUCGGAUCGUAAACCUCUGUCCUUGGUGAAGAGUGAGAGACGGUAGCCAAGGAGGAAGCCCCGGCUAACUACGUGCCAGCCGCGGC
rnacentral:rRNA from 1 species